rnacentral:lncRNA from 1 species
GGUAACUUGCUGGGUUCCUUUCCCAGCAGUGUGGAAGCUUUGUUCUUUUGCUCUUUGCGCUAAAUCUUGCUGCUGCUCACUCUGGUCUUUGGGUCAGUACUGCCUUUAUGAGCUGUAAUACUUACUGCUAAGGUCUGUAGCUUCACUUCUGAGCCAGCAAGACCAUGAACCCACCAGAAGGAGGAAACUCGGAACACAUCCAAACAUCAGAAGGAACAAACUCCAGACGCACUGCCUCUGUCCCUGAUGAAGUUGCCUGGGCACACCAGAGUGUGGGAGAGUGGACGGCGCGGCCCCUCCUGCACUUGGAGCUGCUCUCAGAUCUUGGGCUGUGACCCCUGUGGGUGACACGAAGUUCAGUGAUUGUCCUCCUUCUGGACUGAGGGACAUCCAUCCACACGCGCCCCCUCCACAGCCCGAUCCCAUCACGUCCUGCUCGUCCAACAUGGGCCUUAGAUCCUGGGGUCUCUGCUGAGUGCCUCCCCUCUGAACGCCCGGCUGGCACUUUCACGGUGAAGCCAGCUGUCAUGGACACCGACGGCAGGUGGCCUUUCUGCGUUGUCUACCGGCUGAUCUUGAAAGUGAAAACGGACAUUGUCUGCCCUGUGGUGACCGUGUUGGGUGAUGGUCCUGGGGUCAGGCCCUGCAUGCACCUUCACCCAGGGAUGGCUUCUUAGCUGACAGCGGCUCUGCCAGGAACCACGAUCACCCUCCAGUUUGCUCUUUGUGCUGAAUUUUAUUGACAUGAAAUUCGCAUGACGCCAACUUUAUCGUUUUAAAGUGAAUGGUUAAACAGAAUGCGGCACUUUCACAGGGCGGCAUGACCCCCACCUCUGUCUGCCUUCAGAACAUUUUCAUCCCCCACGAAAGGAGGAAGCGCAGUCCCCAGGAACAGUUACUCCUCAUUUCCCCUCCCCAGCUCUGGCUUCCGCAACCACGAAUCUGCUUUCUGUCUCCGUGAAUUUGCCUCUUUCGGAUAUAUUUCACGUAAAUGGAGUCCCGUGAUAGAUGAGCUGUGUCUGCCUCUUGCGGGCAGCACAGUGUCUGGAAGGUUCUCCGUGCAGCCGCAGGGGUUGGCGCUUCCUUCCUCCCGAGGCUGACCCGGCCCCGUCGUACGGGGAGUCCACUGUGUGUCUGUCUUUUGGCUGCUGUGAGCCUGGGUGUGCCGCCUGCUCCAGCCCAUGUUUUCAGCUCUUUCAGGUGUGGAGGGAGGAGUGGAAUUGUGGGAUCAUAUUGUAACUUUAACUUUGGAAGGAUCUGCCAAAUUACCCCUCUAAUUUGUUUUCAAUUUUAUUCUUAUUUCCCUGUCACUUGUUCUUUCUUUUGACUGGUUAAAAAAAAUGGCAAAGGUCUUCAGCAAAACAAGAAGUGAGUUUCAAUUGAACCGUGAAUUAAAUAUGAUACACUCAAAAUCUGACCAAUAAUACAUUUUAAUUUUCCCCACACAUUUACGUCCACGUUAAUUUCAUGGAAAUCAAGAUGCUUUUGCCUCUGUUCUAAAGUAUUUAUUUUUUUUAAGACAGGUUCUUACUCUGUUGCCCAGGCUGGAGUGCAAUGGCGCGAUCUCAGCUCACUGCAGUCUUGACCUCCCAGGCUCAAGCAAUCCUCCUGCCUCAGCCUCCUGAGUAGCUGGGACCACAGGUGUGCAUCACCAUGCCUGGCUAAUUUGUUACAUUUUUAGUAGAGACGGGGUUUCACCAUGUUGGCCAGGCUGGUCUGGAACUCCUGACCUGAAGCGAUCCUCCCACCUCAGCCUCCCACAGUGCUGGGAUUACAGGCGUGAGCCACCACGUGCAGCCUGAAAGUAUUUUUUUUUAGAGUUUCCUAAAAGUUUCAUCAUCCCUUUUGUUUUCCUAACAAGCUGUGAAACCCAGUGGGUUUUAAUUGUGAAUCAGCACCAAAACACAUGCAGAUUUAAUUUUUAAUUGAAAUGAUGGACAAUAAACAGAAUUAAUAACUCAAAUGCUUGAAGUCUGUCAAGCAUGGUGCUUUGUCUUUGCCAUGGACAUGAAAAAGCAGCAUUCCCCUCCGGACUUGAGGCUGGGGACCUUC